UACGGGGGGAGCAAGCGUUGUUCGGAUUUACUGGGCGUAAAGGGCGCGUAGGCGGCGUAACAAGUCACUUGUGAAAUCUCCGGGCUUAACUCGGAGCGGUCAAGUGAUACUGUUGUGCUAGAGUGCGGAAGGGGCUACUGGAAUUCUCGGUGUAGCGGUGAAAUGCGUAGAUAUCGAGAGGAACACCUGCGGCGAAGGCGGGUAGCUGGGCCGACACUGACGCUGAAGCGCGAAGCUAGGGAGCGAACGGG
rnacentral:rRNA from 1 species